GACAUAUAUAUUUGCAUUUUAUUAAUAAUGAAAUAAAAUUUUAUUCUAAAAUAUUAGCCAAAAGCAUUUAUAUUUCCUCAACAAAGCCUUUGUAUUUCAAAAACAUUCCGCAAUUGGGCGCACAUGUGCACUUAUACGAAAGAAAAUUAGAAGAAUGCAGAAAAAUGUGGCAAAACAUAGCAAAAAUGUAGCUUUUUUUGACAAUUGAACUGUACUGGCAUGCCAUAAGGAAUGAGCAUCAAAUAUCCAAAAAAUAGGAGGAAAAUCUGUCAAUUCGAGCAGUGUCACGAGAAUAGUCAAUAUAUUGAACCAAGCAAUUAAGUACAAGUACGGCAACUUAUGGCGUUUAAAAUACCACCAUAGCAUUGUUACCGCAACAGUCGUUAGUCCUGGAAUUGUAUACACGCAGUUCAAUUUUACAGUAGCUGUCUUUCUAUGUGACUAUGGUGUAAAGCUUACCUAUCGCCACAUUAAACAUCAUAUUAUAACCAUAAUUAAUUCUGCCUGACCAUAAAUGUGACAAAUGUGUACACAAAA
rnacentral:lncRNA from 13 species